rnacentral:lncRNA from 1 species
UGGCUGGGCUGUUUCUGCUGUAUGUAAGUAGAGGCUGUGGCUUCCUAGGGGAGUGUGUGCUCCAGGCUGCUGCCCUUCACACUUAGGCUCGUGUGCCUUUGUCCUUGUGCCUUACACCUGUGGGGUCCUGGCCUGCAUGGAAAAAGGAAUCAGGCUUCAGCCUGGGCGGCCGUGGCUUCAGAGCUCUGCCAAAGAAGGCCCAUGAAGGCCAACAGCACCGUCUGGGUUGGAGUGACAGCGGGGCUGGGGCUCUGUGCAGUCCCACUGGCAGGUAGCCUGCAUCUUGGCUGUGGUACUGUGGCCACCCUCACAGCCAGAACCUCAUCUCCAGCCCCAGGAUCCACUCCUAGGUUCGUCUGUCAGGGUCCCUGAUUGGCCCUGAGCCCAGAAGAGAGGCCUCUACAUACACAGUGGCCAUUCCUUCCCAAAUGAGCCUCACACCCCC